ACAGAAGGGACCCAUGUUGAUGAACCUGAGGCAGAAGUUAAAGAAGCUGUGAAUGAAGAAGAGAUUGCAGAAGUAGAAAAAGUGGAGGAUAAAGAACAAGAGGCUGAAAAUGUACCUGAAACCCCACCUCAUGUUGAAUCUGAACCUGAACAUGAGCAUGAUCAAAAAAUUGAAGAGUCUGAACCUGAACAUGAGCAUGAUCAAAAAGUUGAAGAGUCUGAUCAGCCUCAAAUUCAAGAUGAUCAUGAUGAGAAGGUGGUACCUACUGUGUCAGAACAAGAAGAAGAAGAAGCAAAAGAAGAGAAAAUCAUCAAAGAUGAGCAUGAAGAGGUA
rnacentral:lncRNA from 1 species